CCUACGGGAGGCAGCAGUGGGGAAUAUUGCACAAUGGGGGAAACCCUGAUCCAGCGACGUCGCGUGAGGGAAGAAGUAACUCGUUAUGUAAAGCUCUAUUAGCAGGGAAGAAAAUGACUCUACCUGAGUACGAAGCCCGGGUUCACUACGUGCCAGCAGCCGCGGUAUUACGUAGGGGGCAAGCGUUAUCCGGGUUUACUGGGUUUAAAUGGGGCGUAGACGGGUGUGAAAGUCUGGUGUGAAAGGCGGGGGGUCAACCCCCGGACUGCUGUGGAAACUGUAGGUCUGGAGUGGAGGAGAGGUAGGUGGAAUGCCUGGUGUAGCGGUGAAAUGCGUAGAUAUUAGGCAGAACACCGAUUGCGAAGGCAGCUUACUGGAGUGUAACUGACGUUGAGGCACGAAAGCGUGGGGAGCAAACAGGAUUAGAUACCCCAGUAGUC
rnacentral:rRNA from 1 species